GGCUCGUUGGUCUAGGGGUAUGAUUCUCGCUUAGGGUGCGAGAGGUCCUGAGUUCAAAUCCCGGAAGAACCC
rnacentral:tRNA from 1 species